rnacentral:sRNA from 1 species
AAGGAAAAAUAGAGGAGGAAGGAAAGAAAACUAGCUAUUUUUCAUGAUCUGUCCUGAGAAAAUAUUUCUAAACUCACCCUACAAACUGCUGUCUAUAACACCAUUGGAGUCAAAUGGGCCCCUUUCAGACAGGGAAAUUCACAGCUGCUGGCUGUGGCAUGCAGGGCACGCAGCCAGGGACACCUAAGAGCAAGUGCUUGCCUCUCUCUCUCACCCAGAAUGAUGAUGCAGGAAUGACAAAGGGAGAUACUGGGGAAUGUCAAGUCAAACAAAUCAUAGCUCUUCUCCGGUGGCUCCUGUGACCUUGUUCUGAGUCAGCUGCUUACACAGGCAUUUCACACAGGAGAAGUGAAGGAAAUUCCAGAAGAAAAGCAAGCAGCAUAAAAACGACUUUUUACGGAAAGUUCAACAACCUCCAGAGAGAUCGAGUAUGGCAUGCUGAAGGAGCUGACUUCAUUUAUUAAAUGCACUUCCCGAUGUGUUAAGUAACUCGUUCUUCUAAGUGCACAGGGUUUGUAUUACUCUUCUCUCUGCUGCCUCCUUCCCCUCUGUAGGAUUUAUGAUGUUUUCCUGACAGGCUCCAUGUGCCUGAGGCCCAUUAGGUAGGACUGAGGUCUCACCUUUUCUAAGUCCAGAAGUCAUCCUGAGGAAGUGCUAUUACUUCAUGUGUAAAACUGCAAAACACACACAGAAUCACUUGGAACAGAAACUCUUUCUGUCAAGGGUUGCUCUUCCUCCAAAGUUUCUUCUCUGAAAACUUAUUACUAUUAUUAUUAAUUACUAUUAUUAGUUUUGCUGAUUUGAUUAUGCUCUACUGAAGGUAGUUAGAAAAUGAUAUAAAAUAGGAAAUAUUGUUGCUUGCAAAACAGUGUCAAAGGCCAACAGAUAAACCUUCAAAUUCAUCUGCAGCACAUGUCAAUUAGAUGCUGUCCAGAAAAUAGGGCAAGCAACAGGACUUCUUCCUCUGUUCAAAGUGUCAGUCCAAUUCAGUUUCAACCCAGAAUGUGUUUUAGGUCUGAGGUAAUAGGCCUACCUCAUUUCUUCCAUAGAUUUUGUCUGGAGGAGCGACCAACUGGAUCCACUUCAACUCUGGAGAUCACUACAUGCCACCACAUACUAUAUUGUUGGCCACGAGCAGCACUGAAUCUUCACGUGUAGCUUCUUACACUGUCAUGCCCCAUAGUACCCACAGCUAAAUCUAUACUUUCCAGCAAAGAACACAAGCCUGCAAUUGCCCUUACAGUUUCAAAGCUUAGCUUUGCAGGUAAUUGGGGAAAGUUAGUUAUGUUCUCCGUGCACAAGUUAAUUCAUUCCCACUAAAACAAUUACAGCAUUGACUGUGUCAUGAGUCUGUGAGGAUUGUAUAGUUCACAUGAAGCUGCUUAGGAACAUGUAAGCAUUCAUGUGUGCAUAAUUAUACAUUACUGUACUUUUAUUUUCAUUAUUUUUAUUGUACAAAUGUAAAUUUCUUUCUUCAUAUCAUAGAGAAUUGACACAGCAACAUUAACUUGAUUUAAUUAGCUCAUAAAAUCUGGACUUGCCAAGCUGGUCAACUGAGGCCACUUUUGGGAACCCAGAGGAAGAAGGUAUCUUCUAUAUCUAUUAUAUAGUCUAUCUAUUUAUGGGGAUAAAUAGAUGUUGGUAGAAGUGGAGGUUUCUGGAAUUGUCUGAAAAUAGUUCCUAUUGCCAAACUUUUGUACAUCAAGUGUGUGUACAAGAAAGACCUCAGAAAGUCAGCACUGCUAUAGGACUGUGCACAAGCCAAGUAUCUGAAUAAUUUCUGGUGACUGGGCUUUUUCCCUGUUGAGUUCGAUGACUGUACUCCACUAGGAGAAAGGUCAUGAAGCAUGGUUCCUGCUAGGGCUGACAUUUAACAAGGAGUGAUUGAUUUGAAAGCAGGAUUGAUACUCAGAUUUAGUCUACCGGUGUUUUGCUAAAAUCCCUUUAAAAUGGGACUGUAAGUUCAUCCUCUCUUUUUCUUUCCUCUGAAUAGAUUUUUUUUUAACUAGGCCAAAAACUACCAAUAGCCAGCUCAAGUAAAACACAAGCCAAUUCAUGUCUUCAGUGUCCACCAUCUGAGUAUCUCCUAGUUAGAGGAAUGAUCACAGUUCUUAAAGUAUGAAAACACUAGUUACUGAUCGCUACCUAUCCUGAGCCCUCACUGCUAACACAGGAGCUCCAGAUGAAAUCUAAAUUUGCUAUUUCAAGCCCAUUGCUGUGUUGAUCAUUUGAGAUAAAAAUGACAUAGUUUUGAGUCUUCGGAAACUGCUCCACUUAACUCCCAAACCGUUGCUUUUGAAAAAGGCUAAUUUGGGGUUGGGUACAUUGGUGUUGCUGCCUUGUAAAACGGCAAGCUUUUUUUUAAAAAAGAAAAAGAAAGAAAAGAAAAAAAUGAAAAAAAUGGCAGCAGAGACAUUUUUUCUAGCCCAUGUCAGCACAAAAGGGUGACUCAGUUGUUUCAUCUCCCAACAGCUGCAUGCUUUCAUUGACAUUUGGUGACCUUUCUUUGUGCACCCAGCCUAACCUCUUAGGUUAUUUCCUGGCCUCCCUUCUGUGACCUAUGACCGAAGCUGACCUUUAGCUGGAGAAUGUGACAUUUUGUUCUCCUCUAGCUGACAUGUGAUGCUCUCAUUAUUCAAAGAGCCAUCUUGGGAACAGUUCCAAACUGUGGAGAACAGAAGUUUCGACUGCUUGACUGAAGUGUUAACGUCAUCCAGUCUGAGAUUUCAUAACUUUACAAACAAGAGGCCGAGGCCUCAGUGGAGUCACCAGUGGCCGUCUUAAUUACAGCAUCAACAAAUGAGCAUUUCAGCAAAAACACGCAACCUUCUUGGUGCAGGUUCAGCUAAAGUUUCUCAUUCUGAAGCUGUCGUUUCCUCUCUACUUUCACCUCCUCAUUCUUGGGAAAAAAAGUAGUUUCCCCAUUACAGUCUUUUUUUUAAAAGUAUAGUUAAAAAAUAAAAUAAUAUCUUGGGUCCUGUGGAUCUUUUCUCAUGAAUGACUUAGUUAGCUGUUUAAGCUUGUGUCAAGAUAAUAUCCUCGAAAUUUGCUGAAAUAACCAUUCUCUUUCAGGUCAUGAUGUCUGUGAUUAGUUUCAAAGAGGCUAGGGCAUAUGUCAAUGCUGUAGGAAAUGUGUUGUUUAUGCCCCAAGAAGCUGUAUCUUCUCCUGAGUGCUACCUUCCCCGUGAAGAGAUGAGUUGAUUUCUGAAUUGUAAAACAAUGCCAUAUGGGAUAUAGGUUCAACAAAUAUUUGAAUGGAAGCUUUAUACAGAGAACUCCAGUGGUGAUAAAAUAGUGAGUCCUGCACCUGGCCUUCAACAAAGAUGUGUCCUUACCAAGAGCACACUGAAAUGUCUAACUCCUGAAAGAAUGUUUUGCAAGUUUUAGAGUUUGACAAGAUAUGGUGACUCGAGCCUGCAACACCAGGUCUUGGGUGGCCAAGGUGAAAGGAUAGCUUUAAUUUCAGGGCUGACCUGAGCUAGAUAGCAGGGUUCUGUUUCAAAACAAAAGCCGUGUGGAUCCCCCACCAAAGAAAAGCCUCAAUGUAAAUCUGCUUUCAUAAUUUUAAUAACUCUAUCCAAUCAAUUCUGAUGUUCUGUUCAUAGAUGAGUUCUUAGCUUACAUAUAAAAUAUCUUUCCUGUGUCAUUUUUAUGCCUAAUUGGUGUAUAACAUCCACUGAACAUCAAAAUAAAUGUUAUAAGUCAUUG